ACUAAGAUAAACCAUUCAAAAAGAGUGCAUCAGCGGUAGGAGUCAUUAGAGGGAAAUUUUGAAAAUGGUUUUCUCCCCUGUUAUAAAACCUUGAGAUAUUUUAUCUAUCGAACUCAUCCUUUACAUCUUGACUGAUAAGGGUUCCAAAAUCAUUUCAACUGUAUCAUGAACCAACGAGGUAUUCGGUUUUAUUCGUAUCACAUUUGCAAUGCCCGUUCGGUAAAAGUCGAUUUCAUAAUGUUAAUAAAGAAAGGAAGCCCAAAACUCACUUUUGAGCUGAAUCGCGCCUUUUUCGUACUUCUUCAUACUUCGUUUAUACAAAAAACGAAUUACUAGUAUAAAUAAGCUUGUACUUGAUGUUAAUCCUCACCAUCGUAUUGAACGUGAAGUUUAUGUUUAAGUAACACAUGGAAAAGAAAAUAAGCGAUUUAAGCAAGCUAUCGUCCAUCAAGAUAAUGUCAAAAAAAAAAACUUGGACUUUGAUUUCGCAUAACAGUUAGAACCCUAAACAAAUAAACAUGGAAAUAAAUACCAAUAUGUCUUUUAUUGCAAAAAACAGUCUCUAGAUUUGCAUGCUCUUUAAUCAUUGCUUUCCGGACAUUAUUUACUAGAUUUUAGUUUCUUACACUCAAAAUCCUUUUGU